rnacentral:rRNA from 1 species
AUUGAACGCUGGCGGCAGGCCUAACACAUGCAAGUCGAACGGUAGCACAGAGAGCUUGCUCUCGGGUGACGAGUGGCGGACGGGUGAGUAACGUCUGGGAAACUGCCCGAUGGAGGGGGAUAACUACUGGAAACGGUAGCUAAUACCGCAUAACGUCACAAGACCAAAGUGGGGGACCUUCGGGCCUCACACCAUCGGAUGUGCCCAGAUGGGAUUAGCUAGUAGGUGGGGUAAUGGCUCACCUAGGCGACGAUCCCUAGCUGGUCUGAGAGGAUUACCAGCCACACUGGAACUGAGACACGGUCCAGACUCCUACGGGAGGCAGCAGUGGGGAAUAUUGCACAAUGGGCGCAAGCCUGAUGUAGCCAUGCCGCGUGUAUGAAGAAGGCCUUCGGGUUGUAAAGUACUUACAGCGGGGAGGAAGGCGGUGAAGUUAAUAGCUUCACCGAUUGACGUUACCCGCAGAAGAAGCACCGGCUAACUCCGUGCCAGCCGCCGCCGUAA